rnacentral:rRNA from 1 species
AUGUACAUUCCUAUAGCAUAGUGUUAAUGCACCAUAUCCCAUUAUAGCUUUGCAGUUAAGCACACCCAAGAUAUAGUAGUACUGGGAUGGGUGACCACCUAGGAAGUCCUAGUAUUUUACAUG